UAUAUUUCAAUAUAUUAAAUAGUGAAUUAGGAAGUUACAAAUAUCAGUUGUAUGAGUUAGGAAUAAUAGAGUUUAUUAAUUUUAAUUUUAAAGAUGAAUCAUAAAAGAAAAACAAAAAUAAUAUACUCUCGUAAACUAUGUGGUUUUAAAAAAUUGCUGAGUAGGAAUGUCAUGUUAAACCACUUAAAGGGGUAGUCAUUUCCUUAUUUCCAAAGGGACAUACCAUUUAGCUUCAUCGUGAACAAUCCUUAAUAGAAUACUUCUCACCUAGUGCUAUUUGAAAUGAGGUUCAAGACAACGUCAGCGUUGAAGAUCAUAUUGAAAACAUGUCCAAGGAUCUGUUUGGUGUUGAUGGUGUUUGUAUAUGUUGAGUGAUGAAACGAUGACAAUGAUUUAAAUGUUAUUAAGCAAUACAUUUGAAUUUGCAAAUACUCUAAGAUAAAUGAUCACUCAUAUAAAUUUGUAGGAAGAGCUUAUGUGUUCAUCUUUCAAGCACAUGCACAUUUUCCACUUCCAGAAACGGGAAGAUUUGUCAACAAAACGCACUUUGGUUUUAAAGGAGAUGGGCACAUAUCCUUUGGACAAUCAAAAUCAUGGAUACAAUCAACAAAACCUGUAAUAAAAUAAAUAAUAAAAACUUGUUACAAAAAUUAGAUAAAACAUUACCUAUAAAUAAGAAACUUUGAAAAUGGUAAAAAAAAUGGCUUACUUUCAAUAUUCAUUGCAACCAGAAAUAGAGAAAGAAAGAUUAUGGAAAAAUAAAUAAACUUGACUAUUCCAACCAUUAUUUUUUCCUCUUGGCAAGUAAGAAAUAUUGUAUAGUUUUCUAAUUUUCUAGUUUAUAAUGUUCAACUCUUGUAUGUUUGGAUUGAUGGAAAGGCGUGUACAUAAAACUUCAAAAGCCAAUCCAUUAGGUAGUUUUUU
rnacentral:lncRNA from 1 species